GGUUUAUACAGCAAUUCGCUUUUUUUUCUUGAAUUGAUUCAAGCCUUCUUGUUCAACAUUACAAAUAAUGUUGUCCUUUUUCCAGUUGGAGCAGAUAAGAUUAAGUUAAAUGUCACGUGGUGUGAUUUGCAGAGGAGGGAAGUAAAGUGUUAUCCCUGUCCUGCUCAGAGCUGUGAACAUGAGUCUUCAGGACCUACAGUCGCCUUGCUGUCCCUUGGCUGACUCGACUGACCUUAUGAAAGCCAACCUGAUGUGGCGGAUGAAGAAGGUUAAAAAUGAGGU